CCAAAAAGAAAUGUACUCAUUAUCUGACUUACAUAAUUGGAACCCUUUUUGCACAUCAUCUUUAUAUAACAAAAAGUGAAAAAAAUUAACAAGAAAUUAUACAAAUGUCCAAUAAAAUAUGUCUUAUGUCAUCCCCAAUCAUUAGGGAAAUGCAAAUUAAUACACAAUGAAUGGUGAAUGGACAACUCCAGCAGUCAGAAAGCUGAGGCAGGACAAUCCAGGACAGUGUGUACCACACAGUGAGCUCCUGUCUCAAAACACACACAUAUGUGCACAUACAUAAACACACAUUCACACAAUACGCAAUACUAUUUCUUACCAACUACUAUGGAUAUCAUAAAACAACAACCAAACAGAGAAUGAAAGGUUUUGAUGAGGAUGUGGGGAAAUUAAAACCCGUAUGUACUCUGGCUGGGAAUAUAGAACACUGCAUCCUCUAUGGAAAGAAGUAUAGUAGCUCCCAGAACACAAGUAGAAUUAUGACCCAGUAAUCCCACUUCCCAGUAACUGUCCAGAAGAACCGACAGCAUGGUCUCACGGACAUGUCUGUAUGCCAGUGCUCAUAACAGCAGUAUUCAUGUCAGCCAGAUGGUGGAAAUAG